UGCGUAGGGGGCAAGCGUUGUUCGGAAUUACUGGGCGUAAAGGGCGCGUAGGCGGCACGGCAAGUCAGGAGUGAAAGCCCUGGGCUCAACCCGGGAACUGCUUUUGAAACUGCCGAGCUAGAGUGCGGAAGGGGCAACUGGAAUUCCCAGUGUAGCGGUGAAAUGCGUAGAUAUUGGGAAGAACACCUGAGGCGAAGGCGGGUUGCUGGGCCGACACUGACGCUGAUGCGCGAAAGCCAGGGGAGCGAACGGG
rnacentral:rRNA from 1 species